CACCCCUCCACCCAUCUCUCUCUCUCUGCCCAUAAACCCAUCACUCCAUUACUCCAUUACUCCAUUGCAGAGUACAGACAUCCUCCUCUCAGACACACCUCGUCAUUCUAGUUCAGAGAAAACCACUUCUUACUACCUCUGUAAGAAUAGAAACAGACCACAAUAUACAUAUUUUUUCCCAUUAUACUUAGGAAAGGAGAAACAUGGAUGUGUUGUUUCUUUCACUCUGUCUCCUUCUCGCCAUUUUCUCCACCGUCAGCUCCUGCCCGGCUUCCGACUUGCAGGCCUUAUUAGCCUUCAAAUCCUCAUUAAACGAGCCUUACUUGGGCAUCUUCAAUACAUGGACAGGCACCGACUGCUCCAAGUGGUAUGGCAUCAGCUGUGACCCAACCACCGGCCGAGUCGCUGACAUUAACCUGCGCGGUGAAUCCGAAGACCCCAUCUUCGAGAAGACUGGCCGAUCCGGUUACAUGACCGGUUUCAUCAACCCUUCAAUAUGCAAGCUCGAUAGUCUCACUACUUUAACCAUAGCAGACUGGAAAGGUAUUUCCGGGCAGAUCCCGGAAUGUGUAGUUUCUUUGAAGUCUCUUCGAAUUCUUGAUCUUGUCGGGAAUAAAAUUUCCGGUGGGAUCCCGACGGAGAUUGGAAACCUGCAGAGACUCACCGUGUUAAAUCUUGCCGACAAUGAGAUAUCUGGAGCGAUUCCAGCUUCCUUAACCAAGAUGGGGAGUCUCAAGCAUUUGGAUUUAAGCAACAACCAAGUGUCCGGUGAGCUGCCAGCUGAUUUCGGUAGCUUGAAAAUGCUGAGUCGGGCCUUACUGAGCAGAAACCAACUCACUGGGUCAAUUCCCAGCUCCAUAGCCAAGAUGAAUCGCCUUGCAGACUUGGAUUUGUCCAGGAACCGGAUAUCCGGCUGGCUACCUUCCUGGUUAGGCAACAUGCUGGUUCUCUCUACCCUUAACUUGGAUAGCAACAUGAUAUCAGGCGAAAUACCAUCAUCUUUAUUGAGCUGUACCGGUUUGGGUAUCUUGAAUCUAAGCCGAAACUCUAUAGAGGGGAAAAUACCAGAUGUUUUCGGUGCAAAAUCUUAUUUCAUGGCACUUGACUUAUCAUACAACAAUUUGAAGGGUCCGAUACCCGGUUCAUUAUCGUCGGCAAAAUAUAUCGGGCAUUUGGAUUUGAGCCACAACCAUUUAUGUGGGCCCAUUCCGGCGGGAUCACCGUUCGAUCAGCAACAAGGGUCCUCGUUUUCUAACAAUGAUUGUCUUUGUGGAAACCCGUUGAGGACUUGCUAAUGCGUAUCGGCCGACAACAGCAAAUAACGGUUUGAUUAAGAAGUGUCAAGUGUUUUUAAGGUGACAGUGAUUGAGUGAUUUGUGGGAUUUAUAGAUUUGAUUAAUGUUAAUUUAAUGUAAUAGUAUGAAUAGACUUGUGAGUUAAUUAUAAGUCGAAAUGGACAAAUAUCAGGCUGUUGCAUGCAUGUGGAAAACUGUAUAAGCUAUGAUACAAAUUAUGAGAUUAGAAGAUAAGGUUGCCUAUGCAUAUAAAUGCAAUGGGCAAUUGGGUAUUGUUGAAAUAAUUGUAAAAAUGUAAGAAAAAAAAUAAAAUUACAUAUUAUAUAAUCGAUUUUUUUUAAUGCUUA
rnacentral:misc_RNA from 1 species